UACGUAGGGAGCAAGCGUUGUCCGGAAUCAUUGGGCGUAAAGCGCGUGUAGGCGGUUACAUAAGUCUGUUGUGAAAGUCGGAGGCUCAACCUUCGAAAGCCGAUGGAUACUGUGUGACUUGAGUACGGAAGAGGAGAGUGGAAUUCCUGGUGUAGCGGUGAAAUGCGCAGAUAUCAGGAGGAACACCAACGGCGAAGGCAGCUCUCUGGGACGUUACUGACGCUGAGACGCGAAAGCGUGGGGAGCGAACAGG
rnacentral:rRNA from 1 species